GAUUAACGCUGGCGGCGUGCAUAACACAUGCAAGUCGAACGAUGAAACUUAGUAGACUUCUUCGGAAAGACACUAAGCGGAUUAGUGGCGAACGGGUGAGUAACUCGUGAGUAACCUGCCUUACACAAGGGGAUAGCCUGUGGAUACGAAGAAUAAUACCCAAUAAAACCAUAAAAGCACAUGCUAGAAUGGUCAAAGUGAUAGCGGUGUAAGAUGGACUUGCGUCUGAUUAGCUAGUUGGUGAGAUCAAAGCUCACCAAGGCAACCAUCAGUAGCCGGCUUGAGAGAGUGUACGGCCACAUUGGGACUGAGACACGGCCCAGACUCCUACGGGAGGCAGCAGUGGGGAAUUUUGCACAAUGGGGGAAAACCUGAGGCAGCGACGCCGCGUGAUUUAGAAGGCCUGCGGGUUGUAAAAAUCUUUUGUAUAGGAAGAAAAUGACAGUACUAUACGAAUAAGGUCCGGCUAAUUACGUG
rnacentral:rRNA from 1 species